rnacentral:rRNA from 1 species
UACGGGGGGGGCAAGCGUUGUUCGGAAUUACUGGGCGUAAAGGCUCGUAGGCGGCCAACUAAGUCAGACGUGAAAUCCCUCGGCUUAACCGGGGAACUGCGUCUGAUACUGGAUGGCUUGAGAUUGGGAGAGGGAUGCGGAAUUCCAGGUGUAGCGGUGAAAUGCGUAGAUAUCUGGAGGAACACCGGUGGCGAAGGCGGCAUCCUGGACCGACACUGACGCUGAGGCGCGAAAGCUAGGGGAGCAAACGGG